rfam:Populus trichocarpa scaffold_8_contig_210, whole genome shotgun sequence.
UUUAGAACUCGAGAUAUGGGCUGAACACUGAACAAUGUCUGGGUUGCAGGAUAGAUUCGGACUUCUCCGUUGUUGCUACAAAUUUGGACUUGAAAAUGGCCUUUUUAAAUCUUGAACUCCGUAUGAAAGUUUUAGGCCUAUGUCUUAGCUUUACAUC